rnacentral:tRNA from 1 species
GUCAGGAUAGCUCAGUUGGUAGAGCAGAGGACUGAAUCUCUG